UUGAUUGAUCGCAGAGAGCACAAGCAAUGAUUUGGUUGGGGCAGAAGGCUUUUGUUUCCAAUAUUAGAAAAUUCAAAGUAGAGUGUUUUAACCUCUCUAGGAGGUGACAUUUAAGCUGAAAUUUGAAUGACAAGAAGCAGCAAGUUAUAUGACUAUGAAGAAGAGAAUUUUGGGCAAAAGGAAUAACAGAUUCUGAGGUGGGAAGACGUAUAUUUGAGAAACAGCCAGAGGCUUCUGUGGCUAGAGAGAAAUGAAGAACAGAGAGAGUAAGAGAUGAGGCUGGAGAGACAAAAAGAGCCAGCUCCUGUCGUGAGGGUGUGGAAUUGAAAUUUUAUUCUGAGUGUUAUGUGAAGCCAUUGAAGGGUUUUAAGCAAAAAAAAAGAGAGAAAAAAAAAGGAUGUGUCAUUCACUCAGUAUCCCCAAUGCUUGGCAUAUAACAGGUGCUCAGAAAUGGGAUGAAUGAGCUGAGAUAAUGCAUAUAAAGUGCUUUUUAAACAAUGGAAUAUUUCAGAAUUGACAGUCAUCAUCAUUUGGAGGAGAAAAAGACACUGCCCCCAGUAUCAUCCUCUUAACUCACAAAGCUAUAACAGACUUCUGGGGAAUGAGGGUGGAAAUCUAGAGACGCUUGAUUUUUACAGCACCUCUUUUCUGUUCAAAUAACUUCAAACUACCUCAAGACGCCUGGUUGCAAUAGCACUGGCCAGACUCCAGAAGAAAUUUCCAUGAAGAAUUCACUCUUGGCCCCCGAGGUGGAACAGCAAGAUCAAGAAGGGAAUAGAGUGCAAAGAGAAAGAGUGAAGAGCAGUUGCUUAUUGCCAUCUGGGAUGCAAGAGUUUGCGCCACUGCGAGCAAUUGCUAAAGAAUUCCAGUACAGCUAUCUGAAAAAGACCCAAGCACAAGAAAAGAGCAUCCUGUUCUGAAAUCUCAGAAAGGAUAAAUUGCAUCUUGCAGUGCAGAAGGACAAAAACAAUCAUUAAAGUCAAGUGGGCCUGGCAUAAGGGGGUCCGAACAGCACUGGGAAGCUUUUAGUGGUUUUGUCCCCUGGUCCCCUCUCCCAGGAAUGAAGCCCUUCCAGGUGCUUUAUAUAUCCUUAUCGAUCACCUCU
rnacentral:lncRNA from 1 species